GGCUCAGCCUGAUGGGAGGAAGGAGGAAGAAGGAGGGAGUCAGAGUGGGAACUCCGACUCCCUCCUUCUUCCUCCUUCCUCCCACAGGGCUAUG